ensembl:lncRNA
AAAUUACAGUCCUAUAUGCCUUCACUGAGAAGUUAUAUCAGACAUUUAAGAGAGAAAGAAUUAAUAUUACACAAACUUUUCCUGAGAGUAGAAAAAGGGGUUAGUAAAACGAAGAAGCCUGAUAAUAACAUUAUGAGAAAAGAAAAAUCACAGGCCAUUUUACUCAUGGAUAUUUGCUAAGGUAAAUGUUAGCAAAGCAAAAUCUGGUAUUUCACUUACUAUAGUGGUAUAAGAAACUAACCAAAAUGCUGUGGCUUAAAAUGGCCAUUUUAUUAUGAUAGGGAUUCUGAGUCAGGAAUCUGGACAGGGCAAAAUGGUGAUGGCUUAUCUCUGCUCCGUGUUGUCUGGGCCUUGUGUUUGGAAGUCUCAAAGAAAAUCUUGGAAUCAUCUGGAGGCAUUUUCAUUUGCAGGUCCUGCAGUUGAUGCUGUCUGUCAUAAAGGCCCUCAGCUGGCUGUUGUGUAGAAACUCAUCUCGUCUCAACUGGAGUGCCUGCGUGUGGCCUCUCCUUGUGGUCUGUCGGAAUCGGGUAGUUCAAGUCAGACCCUCUCCUGCUUGGCGGCCAGGGGAGGAGGCCUGCCCAGCUCUGAACCCUACAUCUGCUUCUGCCCCAGAGUCG